GAUGAACGCUGGCGGCGUGCCUAAUACAUGCAAGUCGAGCGAACAGACGAGGAGCUUUCUCCCCUGACGUUAGCAGCGGACGGGUGAGUAACACGUGGAUAACCUACCUAUAAGACUGGGAUACCUACGGGAAACCGGAGCUAAUACCGGAUAAUAUAUUGAAUCUCAUUGUUCAAUAGUGAAAUACGGUUUUGCUGUCACUUAUAGAUUGAUCCGCGCCGCAUUAGCUAGUUGGUAAGGUAACGGCUUACCAAGGCAACGAUGCUUAGCCGACCUGAGAGGGUGAUCGGCCACACGGGAUGUGAGACACGGUCCCGACUCCUACGAGAGGCAGCAGUAGGGAAUCUUCCGCAAAGGGCGAAAGCGUGACGGAGCAACGCCGCGUGAGUGAUGAAGGUCUUCGGAUCGUAAAACUCUGUUAUUAGGGAAGAACUAAUGUGUAAGUAACUAUGAACAUCAUGACGGUACCUAAUCAGAAAGCCACGGCUAACUACGUG
rnacentral:rRNA from 1 species